CUCAUAUUUAUGAGUCUGUUGAUGAAACGAUUAACAAAGACAUAAUUACAGGCAGUGUAAGUGGACCUGCUGAACACAUCUAUGCUGAGAUUGAGCUCAAAUCUACAAGUCUUUUAGGGAAUACCAGUGAAAGUUCUGACACUGUUUAUUCUAAACUGACCCUGGUGACCCAUCAAGCUGCUGGAUCUAAUGAUGUGACGUAUGCUCAGGUUAAAUAAAUGCCCGGAGG